AAGACAUGCAAGUCGAACGAAGUGUUCCAUUGAAAUUUUUGUGCUUGCACAAGAAUGGAUUUGGGUUUGCACUUAGUGGCAGACGGGUGAGUAACACGUGGGUAAUCUACCUCAGAGUUUGGGAUAACGUUUGGAAACGAAUGCUAAUACCGAAUGAUUCAUAAAUAGAUAACUAUUUAUGCUAAAAGGAGCGUUUGCUUCGCUUUGAGAUGAGCUUGCGGUGUAUUAGCUUGUUGGUGGGGUAAUGGCCUACCAAGGCAACGAUGCAUAUCCGAGCUGAGAGGCUGAUCGGACACACUGGGACUGAGACACGGCCCAGACUCCUACGGGAGACAGCAGUUAGGAAUAUUCGUCAAUGGGGGAAACCCUGAACGAGCAAUGCCGCGUGAGUGAUGAAGGUCUUUUAGAUUGUAAAACUCUGUUGUGAAGAAAGAAUUGUUAUUAUAGGAAAUGAUAAUAACUUGACGGUACUUCGCCAGAAAGCCCCGGCUAACUACGUGCC
rnacentral:rRNA from 1 species